UAUUUUCUGAACAGUACAGAAAAUUUCUCUGACUUUUUAGGCUUUUAGUGCUUUUAGUAAAAAAAAAAAAGAAAGGUCAUUUGCAAAUACUCACAGCUUAGUUAAAAGAAUAUGUUACCUUGCAUCAGGGUAAGAUUAAGCUUGGAAAGUAAGAAGUUAGUAUUUGCUUCAUUGCUUCAUUGUUAUCUGAAUGGUAUGACAGAUAAGUAGAUUUAGUGCCUUGCUUGUGAAAUUUCAUGAUAUUUUGAAUGUGGAAAAUAUUUGCUCAAUGGAAGAUGGUACCUGGGAAGAUGGAUGAAUUGUUACAAGCAAAGAGGAGUGUGAAAUAAAGCCAAAGCCAUUGGAUUUGGAAAAAUUCGGAACUAGGCACGUGCUUCAUUUUGUAGGUUAUUGUGAGGAAAGCUUAUUUCCCCAGAUGGGAAACUAAUCUUUUGGAGUGGAAUGGCAGCCUCAGCUCCUGCUGAGGACUAGACCUGGGCUUGCAGGUGUGGGGCAAAGCUGCCAUCUUCAAAUCCUACACAAACGCUUGAUCACAUGCUGUGAUAGGCAGCAAAAGCCAUUUGGGAAGGAAAAAUGCUGUUCUACCCAUAUGCAGCUGAUGUUGCUCCCAUAUAGAGCUAUGGGUGUUCCGGAAAAUAAUGUUAAUUAUUAAUAUCAUCAGCAAAGUUAAUAUAUCUUAAAAUACUUUAUGCAGACAGGUUAUUGAUUUGGGUCACAUUGAAUAGUAUUUCACUAUUAGCUGUGCUGCUUGUGUACAUGCAUACAUGUCUGCUUAAAUACACUUUAGGGACAUAGGACAAGGCAGGCAGUUUUUUUUAAACAGAAGGAGAGCUUUACAGCUCUUAGCUUUAUUCCAGCUUAUUGAAGAAGCUAUUUAUUAGCUAUGACAUUACAAACAAUCUCUUCUGAUUUGGUGAGACAGACCUAGAUAAUUAAUUUAUUAAAAAGUAUUUGUUGAGGCUCAUGCUUGUCUCUGCCAUUAAUUUACUAAACCAAAGUUAAUUGUUUAUCACUGAGAAAACCGGUGAUGCACAAGUGAGAAUGGCAGGCAGUGUAUCAGUUGGGUGCUUUAUAAAAUCAUCACAGCAAAAGCACUUACAGCCUACAGCCCUUUUAGAAGUGAUGACUUCAAUAAAGAAAUAGCUCUUACUUGCAGGGAGGUGAUUACUCCUAAUGCAGUGGUUAUGUCCAGAAGUAGGUCUUGGGAGCAAUGGGGAUGAGGAGGCUUUAACAGCAGCACAGCCUGGCACUUUGGAAAUAAAGCCACCUGCAGGAUGGUGAUACAUGGAACACCUUACAGACAGGUUGGUUUGGUUUUUCAAGUUCUUAUACACACACCCUUUGAUUACAGUGAUUAUAUACUGUAUAACACAGCCCAGGGGUGGGGGAGAAACAUUCUGAAGUGUGGAGAGUUUACCUCUAUUCCAUAUUGUUUUUUUCUUCUUUCUCUACAAAAAAUUGUUGAUUUACAUAAGCAUGACUCUUGGGCUACCUUAAGCAAACCUGGGAUAUUUAAGCACCUGAACUAAGGAGACUCUUUCUUUCCCUCCAGCGUGUUGACCACACCACACAGCUUGGUGUCAUCAGCAAACUUUCUGAGGGUGCACUCAAUCCCACUGUCCAUGUUGCUGACAAAGAUGUUGAACAGCGCUGGUUCCAACACUGACCCCUGAGGAACACCACUCAUCACUGGUCUCCACUUGGACAUUGAGCUGUUGACCAUAACUCUUUUGAGUGUGACCAUCCAGCCAGCUCCUUAUCCACCAAGUGGUCCAUCUGUCGAAUCCAUGACUCUCCAGUUCAGAGACAAGGAUGUUGUGUGGGACAGUGUCAAAUGCCUUCACAAGUCCAGGUAGACGGAUGUCAGGGGACAACUCUGUCUGGCUGAAGACAGUGCCUCUGAGAGCCACAAAAAUCUGCUGAUUUCUAGCCCAGGUGCAGCUGCCUUUAGGUCUGAGAUGACUGAUUUGAACAUUCAUGGCUACAGAAGCAGAGAAACCUGAUUAACAAUGUUUCCUCCAUUCAGAAGUGACCAAAACCAAAAAACCUCUAGGUUCACUCUCCUAUCAUAACAGAUGUGAUGAAUACACUGUACCACAUUUUCAUCCCCGCACGUGUGGAUCCUCUAAAGAAGAAUCAUGCCACUUUCCCCAGAAUAGCAGAAGUUUCUGGAAGAUUUAUUUGGAAAAAUACUUACUGGGAAAAGUAAUAUUAUUUAAAGAAAUUGUGGACUGACUGAAUUAAUGAACCCUUUUUCACUAAAAUGUCCCCUACAAAUCCUAAUAUACUUAGAAGUUGUGUGAGAAACAAAAAUCUCCUAUAACUUUUGUCAGUCUCCUGAAAAAGUACAUGGCUUUUUCUGUGUAAUCCUACAUAGAGGCAGUGCUACUGACUGGAAACGGGAGAGUCCAUAAAUGAUAACACAAUUAGUAACAUGUUUGAACAAGGCUGCAGCAUACCACAGUUCCCAGCAUCUCUUCUGACAUAUCAUUCCCCUGUAUGUUAGAGAUUGUCUCUACCAGAUUGGGUGGGGUUGGAAAGUGAUGGAAGCACUGACAGUUGCCUUGGCAGUAUGUGGGAUGAUCACUGUGUAUUAAAGAUUCACAUGCUGCACAUUUUCAGCUCUAAAA